rnacentral:rRNA from 1 species
CCUACGGGUGGCAGCAGUGGGGAAUAUUGCACAAUGGGGGAAACCCUGAUGCAGCGACGCCGCGUGAGUGAAGAAGGAUUUCGGUUUGUAAAGCUCUAUCAUCAGGGAAGAAAAUGACGGUACCUGACUAAGAAGCUCCGGCUAACUACGUGCCAGCAGCCGCGGUAAUACGUAGGGGGCAAGCGUUAUCCGGAUUUACUGGGUGUAAAGGGUGCGCAGGCGGGGUGGUAAGACAGCAGGGAAAACCUCGGGCUCAACACCGUAGAUCGCUUUUGAAACUGUCAAGCUAGAGUGCUGGAGGGGGAGGCGGAAUGCGUGGUGUAGAGGUGAAAUGCGUAGAUAUUAGGAAGAACACCGAUGGCGAAGGCAGCUUACUGGUGAAAAACUGACGCUGAGGCACGAAAGCGUGGGGAGCGAACAGGAUUAGAUACCCCUGUAGUC